rnacentral:rRNA from 1 species
AGUGAACGCUGGCGGUAGGCCUAACACAUGCAAGUCGAACGGCAGCACAGUAAGAGCCUGCUCUUACGGGUGGCGAGUGGCGGACGGGUGGGGAAUACAUCGGAAUCUACUUUUUCGUGGGGGAUAACGUAGGGAAACUUACGCUAAUACCGCAUACGACCUACGGGUGAAAGCAGGGGAUCUUCGGACCUUGCGCGAUCGAAUGAGCCGAUGUCGGAUUAGCUAGUUGGCGGGGUAAAGGCCCACCAAGGCGACGAUGCGUAGCUGGUCUGAGAGGAUGAUCAGCCGCACUGGAACUGAGACACGGUCCAGACUCCUACGGGAGGCAGCGGUGGGGAAUAUUGGACAAUGGGGGCAAGCCUGAUCCAGCCAUACCGCGUGGGUGAAGCAGGCCUUCGGGUUGUAAAGCCCUUUUGUUGGGAAAGACAAGCAGCAGGUUAAUACCCCGCUGUUCUGACGGUACCCAAAGAAUAAGCACCGGCUAACUUCGUG